AUACGGAGGGUGCAAGCGUUACUCGGAAUCACUGGGCGUAAAGGAUGCGUAGGCGGAUAAUCGAGUCAAAAGUGAAAUCCCACGGCUUAACCGUGGAACUGCUUUCGAAACUGGUUAUCUAGAAUAUGGAAGAGGCAGAUGGAAUUAGUGGUGUAGGGGUAAAAUCCGUAGAGAUCACUAGGAAUACCGAUUGCGAAGGCGAUCUGCUGGGACAUUAUUGACGCUGAGGCAUGAAAGCGUGGGGAGCAAACAGGAUUAGAAACCCGAGUAGUCC
rnacentral:rRNA from 1 species